rnacentral:misc_RNA from 1 species
AAGCGGACUCCAGUAAUAUCA